CCUACGGGAGGCUGCAGUGAGGAAUAUUGGUCAAUGGCCGAGAGGCUGAACCAGCAAAGUCGCGUGAGGGCAGACGGCCCUACGGGUUGUAAACCUCUUUUGUCGGGGAGCAAAGCGAACCACGUGUGGUUCAUUGAGAGUACCCGAAGAAAAAGCCUCGGCUAACUCCGUGCCAGCAGCCGCGGUAAUACGUAGGAUGCGAGCGUUAUCCGGAUUUAUUGGGUUUAAAGGGUGCGCAGGCGGAGGUGCAAGUCAGCGGUCAAAUUGCGGGGCUCAACCCCGUACUGCCGUUGAACCUGCAUCCCUUGAGGGCGCGAGAAGUAUGCGGAAUGCGUGGUGUAGCGGUGAAAUGCAUAGAUAUCACGCAGAACUCCGAUUGCGAAGGCAGCAUACCGGCGCGCAACUGACGCUCAUGCACGAAAGCGUGGGUAUCGAACAGGAUUAGAUACCCCUGUAGUC
rnacentral:rRNA from 1 species